AUGUCUUGUUUAGAUGAUGCACUAGAUAUUGUUCCUGAUUCUCAGCCAACAGGGAGAAGCAACAAACAUCCACUGCCUGGUCUUUUGGAAAGUUCUUCUGAUAAAAAAAGAACAUGGAAAAAAAGAGCGUGUUCUGUUCCUGAGAAGAAUAUAACAACUGGUGGCAGGCAAAAACUAAAUCUGACAUCAGGACCUACAUCCCAUUCAGUUCCUGUUUUUAACAAAAGAGAUGUGAAACAAAAUGUUUUUUAUUCAGUUUGUGGAAAUACCUCUCCAGAUAAACAAAUAAAUAAAAAAAGAGAAAAACAGCAGCAAAAUGGAAUUGAAAUCAGGAGGGAAGAAAACUGCAAAAUACUGAGUGGACAGUCAAAGAGCAUUAAUAAUUUGGAACUGAAACAGUUGAAUACAGAAAUUAAAAAUACUUCAACUACUGCUGAAACAUUUAAAACAUAUCUUUCAGCUAGAGUGUCAGAAACAUCUUUGCAUUCUGAUUUUACAAAAUACAGCAAUAUGGAAGAAGAAGCUGAUGUUCUCUCAGGAAAAGAGACUUCAAAUAAUAAACAGUCAAAAACGAAAAAAAAGUCUAAAGAAAUGACAGAUGCAACAAAAUCACUAAUUACUAAAAUCAGUGACAGAUAUAAAGAAAAGACUAACGAGAAAAGCAAAACAAGAGACUCCUCAGGUUUCAACAGACCAUGUUUAAGUAAAUCUUGUUUCAGUGUUAAUAAGGAAAAAGUUCAAAAUAGAAGCUUGAAAACUACUACUUUCCUUGAUACAACCGCUGGUCAUAUUUUGUAA
rnacentral:lncRNA from 1 species